rnacentral:rRNA from 1 species
ACUGCCCUAUGGGUUGUAAACUUCUUUUGUAUAGGAAGAAACCCCUCUACGUGUAGAGGGCUGACGGUACUAUUCGAAUAAGCACCGGCUAACUCCGUGCCAGCAGCCGCGGUAAUACGGAGGGUGCGAGCGUUAUCCGGAAUUAUUGGGUUUAAAGGGUGCGUAGGCGGAAAUUUAAGUCAGUGGUGAAAGCCUACAGCUUAACUGUAGAAUUGCCAUUGAAACUGAAUUUCUUGAAUCUAAUUGAAGUAGGCGGAAUAUGACAUGUAGCGGUGAAAUGCUUAGAUAUGUCAUAGAACACCGAUAGCGAAGGCAGCUUACUAAGUUAGUAUUGACGCUAAUGCACGAAAGCGUGGGGAGCGAACAGGAUUAGAUACCCUGGUAGUCCACGCCGUAAACGAUGAUUACUCGCUAUUGGCGAUACACUGUCAGUGGCUAAGCGAAAGUGAUAAGUAAUCCACCUGGGGAGUACGAUCGCAAGGUUGAAACUCAAAGGAAUUGACGGGGGCCCGCACAAGCGGUGGAGCAUGUGGUUUAAUUCGAUGAUACGCGAGGAACCUUACCAGGACUUAAAUGCAUUACGAUCGGUUGGGAAACCAACUUUUCUUCGGACGGAAUGCAAGGUGCUGCAUGGUUGUCGUCAGCUCGUGCCGUGAGGUGUCAGGUUAAGUCCUAUAACGAGCGCAACCCCUAUUCUUAGUUGCCAGCGGUUCGGCCGGGGACUCUAAGAAAACUGCCAGUGCAAGCUGUGAGGAAGGUGGGGAUGACGUCAAAUCAUCACGGCCCUUACGUCCUGGGCCACACACGUGCUACAAUGGUAGGUACAAAGGGCAGCCACUUGGUGACAAGGAGCUAAUCUCAAAAACCUAUCUCAGUUCGGAUUGGAGUCUGAAACUCGACUCUAUGAAGCUGGAAUCGCUAGUAAUCGCGCAUCAGCCAUGGCGCGGUGAAUACGUUCCCGGGCCUUGUACACACCGCCCGUCAAGCCAUGGAAGCUGGGAGUACCUGAAGUCGGUAACCAUAUAGGAGCUGCCUAAGGUAAUACUAGUAACUGGGGCUAAGUCGUAACAAGGUAGCCGUACCGGAAGGUGUGGCUGGAACACCUCCUUU